rnacentral:lncRNA from 1 species
UUUUGAUUGAUUAUGUAAUGCUUUGUUUGGUGCUUGUUGCAUAUUUUCUAUUCAUUGCAUUACAUGAUGAUUUUCGAGUAUGAAAUUUAUUUUUAAAAAUUGAUUUGAGGAAGGAUGUUUGGAAAUUUUAAAAUUUUUUUUUGAGAAAGGAGACGAUUGAAAAUCUUUAUUUUGGGGAGAAUAAGUUUUUCAAUGUACUUU